GAUGAACGCUGGCGGCGUGCCUAAUACAUGCAAGUCGAGCGAACAGACGAGGAGCUUGCUCCUCUGACGUUAGCGGCGGACGGGUGAGUAACACGUGGAUAACCUACCUAUAAGACUGGGAUCACUUCGGGAAACAGGAGAUAAUACCGGAUGAUAUAUUGAACCGCAUGGUUCAAUAGUGAAAGACGGUUUUGCUGGCACUUAUAGAUGGAUCCGCGCCGCAUUAGCUAGUUGGUAAGGUAACGGCUUACCAAGGCAACGAUGCGUAGCCGACCUGAGAGGGGGAUCGGCCGCAUGGGAACUGAGACACGGACCAGACUCCUACGGGAGGCAGCAGUAGGGAAUCUUCCGCAAUGGGCGAAAGCCUGACGGAGCAACGCCGCGUGAGUGAUGAAGGUCUUCGGAUCGUAAAACUCUGUUAUUAGGGAAGAACAAAUGUGUAAGUAACUAUGCACGUCUUGACGGUACCUAAUCAGAAAGCCACGGCUAACUACGUG
rnacentral:rRNA from 1 species